rnacentral:rRNA from 1 species
GACGAACGCUGGCGGCGUGCCUAAUACAUGCAAGUAGAACGCUGAAGAGAGGAGCUUGCUCUUCUUGGAUGAGUUGCGAACGGGUGAGUAACGCGUAGGUAACCUGCCUUGUAGCGGGGGAUAACUAUUGGAAACGAUAGCUAAUACCGCAUAACAAUGAGUGACACAUGUCAUUUAUUUGAAAGGGGCAAUUGCUCCACUACAAGAUGGACCUGCGUUGUAUUAGCUAGUAGGUGAGGUAACGGCUCACCUAGGCGACGAUACAUAGCCGACCUGAGAGGGUGAUCGGCCACACUGGGACUGAGACACGGCCCAGACUCCUACGGGAGGCAGCAGUAGGGAAUCUUCGGCAACGGGGGCAACCCCGACCGAGCAACGCCGCGUGAGUGAAGAAGGUUUUCGGAUCGUAAAGCUCUGUUGUAAGUCAAGAACGAGUGUGAGAGUGGAAAGUUCACACUGUGACGGUAGCUUACCAGAAAGGGACGGCUAACUACGUGCCAGCAGCCGCGGUAAUACGUAGGUCCCGAGCGUUGUCCGGAUUUAUUGGGCGUAAAGCGAGCGCAGGCGGUUUGAUAAGUCUGAAGUUAAAGGCUGUGGCUCAACCAUAGUUCGCUUUGGAAACUGUCAAACUUGAGUGCAGAAGGGGAGAGUGGAAUUCCAUGUGUAGCGGUGAAAUGCGUAGAUAUAUGGAGGAACACCGGUGGCGAAAGCGGCUCUCUGGUCUGUAACUGACGCUGGGGCUCGAAAGCGUGGGGAGCGAACAGG